UCACUUAUAGAUGGACCCGCGCCGUAUUAGCUAGUUGGUAAGGUAACGGCUUACCAAGGCAACGAUACGUAGCCGACCUGAGAGGGUGAUCGGCCACACUGGAACUGAGACACGGUCCAGACUCCUACGGGAGGCAGCAGUAGGGAAUCUUCCGCAAUGGGCGAAAGCCUGACGGAGCAACGCCGCGUGAGUGAUGAAGGUCUUAGGAUCGUAAAACUCUGUUGUUAGGGAAGAACAAAUUUGUUAGUAACUGAACAAGUCUUGACGGUACCUAACCAGAAAGCCACGGCUAACUACGUGCCAGCAGCCGCGGUAAUACGUAGGUGGCAAGCGUUAUCCGGAAUUAUUGGGCGUAAAGCGCGCGUAGGCGGUUUCUUAAGUCUGAUGUGAAAGCCCACGGCUCAACCGUGGAGGGUCAUUGGAAACUGGGGAACUUGAGUGCAGAAGAGGAGAGUGGAAUUCCAUGUGUAGCGGUGAAAUGCGCAGAGAUAUGGAGGAACACCAGUGGCGAAGGCGGCUCUCUGGUCUGUAACUGACGCUGAUGUGCGAAAGCGUGGGGAUCAAACAGGAUUAGAUACCCUGGUAGUCCACGCCGUAAAC
rnacentral:rRNA from 1 species